AGAUUGAACGCUGGCGGCAUGCCUUACACAUGCAAGUCGAACGGCAGCACGGGAGCAAUCCUGGUGGCGAGUGGCGAACGGGUGAGUAAUACAUCGGAACGUGCCCAAUCGUGGGGGAUAACGCAGCGAAAGCUGUGCUAAUACCGCAUAAGAUCUACGGAUGAAAGCAGGGGAUCGCAAGACCUUGCGCGAAUGGAGCGGCCGAUGGCAGAUUAGGUAGUUGGUGAGGUAAAGGCUCACCAAGCCUUCGAUCUGUAGCUGGUCUGAGAGGACGACCAGCCACACUGGGACUGAGACACGGCCCAGACUCCUACGGGAGGCAGCAGUGGGGAAUUUUGGACAAUGGGCGAAAGCCUGAUCCAGCCAUGCCGCGUGCAGGAUGAAGGCCUUCGGUUGUAAACUGUCUUUGUACGGAACGAAAAGUCUCUUUACUAAUAAAGAGGAUCGAUGACGUAACGUAAGAAUAAGACACCGCGUAACUACGUACG
rnacentral:rRNA from 1 species